GUCAUUCAAAGGUCACAGUGAGGUCACAGUUCAGCAGACCUUGUGAUAAUAUGGUAGAGGUCAUAGGUCAGCAGACCUUGUGAUAAUACAGUAUAGGUCAGCAGACCUUGUGAUAAUACGGUGGAGGUCAUAGGUCAGCAGACCUUGUGCUAAUACGGUAUAAGUCAUUAGACCUUGUGAUAAUACAGUAUAGGUCAUAGGUCAGCAGACCUUGGGAUAAUACAGUAUAGGUCAUAGGUCAGCAGACCUUGGGAUAAUACAGUAUAGGUCAUAGGUCAGCAGACCUUGGGAUAAUACAGUAUAGGUCAUAGGUCAGCAGACCUUGGGAUGGUACAGUAUAGGUCAUAGGUCAGCAGACCUUGGGAUGGUACAGUAUAGGUCAUAGGUCAGCAGACCUUGGGAUAAUACAGUAUAGGUCAUAGGUCAGCAGACCUUGGGAUAAUACAGUAUAGGUCAUAGAUCAGCAGACCUUGGGAUAAUACAGUAUAGGUCAUAGGUCAGCAGACCUUGGGAUAAUACAGUAUAGGUCAUAGGUCAGCAGACCUUGGGAUAAUACAGUAUAGGUCAUAGGUCAGCAGACCUUGGGAUAAUACAGUAUAGGUCAUAGGUCAGCAGACCUUGGGAUAAUACAGUAUAGGUCAUAGGUCAGCAGACCUUGGGAUAAUACAGUAUAGGUCAUAGGUCAGCAGACCUUGGGAUAAUACAGUAUAGGGGCCUCUAUCUUUGGGCUCUGAUUAUUAAUAAUGAUGACGAUAACUUGCCUUGGAAAAUGCGUUUCUUGCAUUUUGCUAUACCAAACAAAAUGCAAAUUACAUCAAAACAUUGAUUUGGAUUUGUUGUUUGUUUGUACUUUUGUAUAUGCAAUUCAGCUUUUAGAUGACUAUUUCUACAAAAUAAAACUAAACUAAAUAGGAAUGAUAAGAACUGUGGCUGUGUUGUGUCC